rnacentral:rRNA from 1 species
CGAAAGCCUGACGGAGCAACGCCGCGUGAGGGAUGAAGGCCUCUGGGCUGUAAACCUCUUUUCUCAAGGAAGAAGAUCUGACGGUACUUGAUGAAUAAGCCACGGCUAAUUCCGUGCCAGCAGCCGCGGUAAUACGGGAGUGGCAAGCGUUAUCCGGAAUUAUUGGGCGUAAAGCGUCCGCAGGCGGCCUUGUAAGUCUGUCGUCAAAGCGUGGAGCUUAACUCCAUUUCAGCGAUGGAAACUACAAGGCUUGAGUGUGGUAGGGGCAGAGGGAAUUCCCGGUGUAGCGGUGAAAUGCGUAGAUAUCGGGAAGAACACCAGUGGCGAAGGCGCUCUGCUGGGCCAUAACUGACGCUCAUGGACGAAAGCCAGGGGAGCG